AUUGAACGCUGGCGGCAUGCCUUACACAUGCAAGUCGAACGGUAACAGGUUAAGCUGACGAGUGGCGAACGGGUGAGUAAUAUAUCGGAACGUGCCCAGUCGUGGGGGAUAACUGCUCGAAAGAGCAGCUAAUACCGCAUGCGACCUGAGGGUGAAAGCGGGGGAUCGCAAGACCUCGCGCGAUUGGAGCGGCCGAUAUCAGAUUAGGUAGUUGGUGGGGUAAAGGCCUACCAAGCCUACGAUCUGUAGCUGGUCUGAGAGGACGACCAGCCACACUGGGACUGAGACACGGCCCAGACUCCUACGGGAGGCAGCAGUGGGGAAUUUUGGACAAUGGACGCAAGUCUGAUCCAGCCAUGCCGCGUGCGGGAAGAAGGCCUUCGGGUUGUAAACCGCUUUUGUCAGGGAAGAAAAGGUUCUGGUUAAUACCUGGGACUCAUGACGGUACCUGAAGAAUAAGCACCGGCUAACUACGUGCCAGCCGCCGCGGUAAUAC
rnacentral:rRNA from 1 species